rnacentral:rRNA from 1 species
GUCCUACGGGACGCAGCAGUGGGGAAUAUUGCGCAAUGGGCGAAAGCCUGAUGCAGCAACGCCGCGUGAAGGAAGAAGGGUUUCGGCUCGUAAACUUCUAUCAACAGGGACGAAAGAAAUGACGGUACCUGAAUAAGAAGCCCCGGCUAACUACGUGCCAGCAGCCGCGGUAAUACGUAGGGGGCAAGCGUUAUCCGGAAUUACUGGGUGUAAAGGGUGAGUAGGCGGCAUGGUAAGCCAGAUGUGAAAGCCUUGGGCUUAACCCCGGGACUGCAUUGGGAACUGCCCCGCGCG